rnacentral:rRNA from 1 species
UACGGAGGGUGCGAGCGUUGUCCGGAAUCAUUGGGCGUAAAGGGCGCGUAGGUGGCCCCUCAAGCGUGCGGUGAAAGUCAGGGGCUCAACCCCUGAUCGGCCGUGCGAACUGGGGAGCUUGAGCACUGUAGAGGCAGGCGGAAUUCCGGGUGUAGCGGUGGAACGCGUAGAGAUCCGGAAGAACACCGGUGGCGAAGGCGGCCUGCUGGGCAGUUUUGCUGACACUGAGGCGCGACAGCGUGGGGAGCAAACAGG